GUUAAAUGUUUUAUGCCUGGUUUUUAUGAACUGCCACUUUGAAAACUGCUGUGAAGAUUUGGAUUUGAGUAGAAAAUGAGAUUUCUACUGAUUUCAUUGGCGUAGCCAUUUUAUAACAUUUUUUUGACAUCAUACAUGUUAACUUGACAGUUUUUCUCAAUUGUUUUUUUCGCAACUGUAGGCGCAUCCAUCAGUGCAGACGAAAGGCGCUGAGGCAGACUGGACGCCCAUACAAUGCACAGACAGGGAGUGUAGCCACUCCUUGAUGAAGGCUCCGCAUCUGCACUGUCCAUUCUGCUCCCAGGACAGUCUCUUCACUGAUGAGAUUCUCCUCAAGGCGCACUACGUACAGGGUCAAGUACGUGGAUAAAGGCAUCAACUUUGGGGGAUGUCAACCAGAUCUUCACCACAUACACUGACCCAGCACCCAACAGUACCAGCCUGGUAACACACCUCAUAGUCCCCCAGUCACAGCAGCCAUCGGAGACGGACACAUCAUCCCUGGGGCUAUAAGCAGACUGAUGGGCAGCAGCCGCAGAUCGAGUACCAGUAUGCCUGCAUCAAUGAUCCAAGCCAGAGCACUGCCAAUGGGGAAGGUAAGAUGUUGUCCUUAUUGAAAUACCAGAUGAAGGAAGCAAAGAGGAUUUGGAG